UUCCUCUCUGUCUCAGAAAUAAACAUUAAAAAAUUUUUUUUUUUAAUUUAAAUUUAAAGCUGGAAAAUGUGCAUCAUACAAUGAACGCCUCUGGAAAUCAGAGUCCUCCCGUUUCCCCAGGGUUUGCUCCUGUCGCUGCUUGUUGUUGUUUGUUUAGUGACUUCUCUUAAUUAAUUGUGGAAAGGCUGCACCCUUUGUCACGUGUGGACACUGAAAUCUCCGCUCAGGUAGCUCGGCAGUCAGCUCACAUUUGGCAAAAUGCUGGGAACUCCUACACCUCCCAGCCUUUACUGAGGGGCUGAGCAGAGAGAGCUAAGUGCUCCCACGAAGCAGCCUACAUUUCUGCCUUAGCCUUGACUUUCUGCUUGCCCACAGCCUCAAGAGCAGCCCGAGGUGAGAGCUUAGGACCUCUUCAGGGAUUUCCUCUGUACUCUACAGCACUACGCAUGCACGGGGCCUUCUAAAUUCUCAGGAUUAUGAUGGAGCUUUUCCAAGCCCCCUGUGGAUAUCUCAUUCUCCAGCUUUUUGGUUUGCCUAUUGUCUGCCUCGCCGUGGUCUACUGCCUCGGGAAGUUACGCUAUUAAACGAUCGUUUCUAAUUGUUUUUGGCAAAUGUCCCCUUGGAAAAAGACCGUUUCCGCCGGAUGAGCUCAGCGUCGGGUCAAAUAAAGACAGCCUUGCAAGUGGGGACUUCCAGGGAACCACCAGACAGAUCAAAUAAUGACAGUUCUCUGGGAAUGAGGCUGUGAAAGAGACCCAGCCCAGCCUGUCCAGGCUGCCAAAUUUUCACUAUUUGCAGGCUGUUGGGUUUCAAGGCUAUGACAGAGUUGGGGAGUGGGGAACAGGAGUAGAGCAAGUUAAAGUGCCACAAAGCUCACCAUCCUCGAGUUGUCAUUGUAUUUAAGGAGAAGAGGAUUUUUGGAGAUUCUUGGUCUGUAAUGUCUUCUGAUGUCAUUCAAAAUUAAACUAUGGGCGGUGGGGGUGGGGUGGGGCGCCUGGGUGGCUCAGUCGGUUAAGCGUCCGACUUCGGCUCAGGUCAUGGUCUCACAUCUUGUGGGUUCGAGCCCCACGUCAGGCUCUGUGCUCACAGCUCAGAGCCUGGAGCCUGUUUCAGAUUCUGUCUCCCUCUCUCUCUCUGCCCCUCCCCCGCUCGCAUUUGCCUCUCUCUCUCUCUCUCAAAAAUAAACAUAACAUAUUUUUUUUUUACAAAGUUAAAAUAGGGAAGGGAAUCGAAACAAUACUUGGCAGAUGGUACUAUGUUUGUGUUUGUGGUGGUUAUUAUUGCCAUUCAUAAUAAAUGAGAGAACAUAGAUGAGCUCUGUUCCUCCCUCUAGAAAAGAGUAAUCCCACAGAGCACAGGAAAGGCGGCUGGGGAAGGCAAAAGGUGCGUGCAUCUGCGGAGAAAGGAGAGGGGAGGAGGCAGGAACAUACUUUAGAAGCUUGUUGGGGUAGGGCCUGGCUCGCAAGGGUGGGAGGCAGGAUUCCCUCUGGGCCAGAGCAAGGAGGCAUACAGAUGAACUGUCUUGUCGGGCUCGAGGCCAAUGCAUGCCUGCUGGUCCUCUGCUAGUUGGUCUCUUCCUUGUAUGGACUUGCCUUGCCUCCCCGCUCAUCUGCUCUGUAAACUCCCCAGACUUUAAAAGGUGGGGCCUCUGAGGGCAGAUGGACGGGACCGUAACGUGCAUUCCCAUGCGCGGUCCGUAGAGAAUCGGCCUCGCCCUGCCCUGCCCUGCCCUGCCGGGGGGAAUUGGCUGCACGAUGCAUCUGUUUACGGGUGUGCUCGGCCGUGGCUGAGGAACGUGGGCAUGUGAUACCCUUCAGGCACAUGUCCACGUCUGUUCAAGCCCCAGGACUCGGUGUUUCCGGGACAGCUGGGUAUCGACAAGUCUUCCGCAUUUCGGGGGGGGGUGUGAGCAAGGCAGGGGCUUCCUAGAGCCAGCGGGAGGGGAAGGAGGAGGAAAAAGAGAAAUGGGGGCAAUGGGCUUUGGGCUCCUCUGUCCCACACACGGACUGCAAGGUCUCCAGGGACUUAGCACUGACUUCUCUGAAGGGCAGGGUGCAGGGAACCCCCAGUCUGAUAGCAGAGGGAAUGCCUCAGAAAACCAGGUGGGAGACCGCCCUCGGCCCGGUCCACUGCCACCUCAGAGUGCUGUUCGUGAGCCUCGGGAGGGACUCACGUUGCUGAGCCCCGAGCGCCAAGCAGAAGUCACAAUAUCCUUUGUCGCCCCCAAAGUCACUGGGGCAUCGUGGGCACCGCGUGACUGGAGCCCAGACCUUCGAUUCUGCACACAGGGCUCUUUCCUCGGCGUGUGCUGUUUGCCACGGGCGUGGAAGGCUCCACGUUUGCAGAAUAGACUGGUCACCCUGCUACCAGGUUUCAGGGCUUUCUUUCCCUCUUGGGACCAGAAAUACCUUUGGGAGAGGCGAGGAAAGAAGGCUCUAGAUGGUGACUAGAGAUCGCCACGAUUGGCAGCUCAGAAUACCCGAGUUGGAGGUAGUGAGGGGCAGGCUACAGGGGGCACCUGCUUGCUCUGGGCUGCAGGAUAAGGGGACACUGCUGGGUAAGGGCAGGGGACCCUGGGGACACAGGGGACCCCUGUGCUCUCACACUGUGCAGACCAGGCACCAGUGGAAGGGAUGAAUGGGUCCUUGUCCUGGGAGUCUGGGGGACCCAGGAUCCUGCCCAGGGACAUCUUGGGGAUCCGCCCUCCCAGGCAUUAGCCUCAUGCCCUAGCCCAUCCCCAAACUGCAGGAAGAUUUCAGGUGUUUCCUGGGCCUGGCAUUGCCCAGCACCGUGCCCGGGGUGAGAACACUAUUUCCCUUUUGGUUCUCCUCCCAUCCCCCCAACUGGGUCCAGAAGAAAAGCUCUGUUUGGGGUUGGUAAGUCUCGAACACCUUUCUGAUGCUUGCAAACCAAAGAAAAGCCCAGAGAGGGCAAAGAAUCCGGCGGGACCUGACUGUAGUGCUGCUUUUAUCUUACGGUUUUCAUUUUACUUCUAUUAAAGAUUUGCCACGUACGUUUUCAUUGACGAGAUAAAUGCAUUUCAGUAAAAAAAGGACAGAAGUAGGUUGUUCCACAGGUGACUACGAAGAGGCUGAUGGGUGCGUGGAUACAGCAGGGGACAGAGGAAAGCGGGCCGGCCUUUGGAGAGUCCUGCCUGCCCGCGAGCCCCCACUCCCCUCCCGUAUUCUGCACCUCUCUUCCUUUCCGGGUUUACCAGUUGCCCCUUUUGGGGCCGAUCCAAGAGCCUGAUGUGUGGCUAGGAAUAGACCCCUGAGCUGAGCGGGCUUUUGAGCUUCAAAAUCCCGGCCUCAGAUUGACGUAGUUUAACGGAAAUUCUCUGCCUGUGUGCGAGAAACACUCAGGCGUCACAGACCAUUAAGGGUAAUGAUGAUCGUAGGAACGGCUCAUCCGGUGAGUGUUUACUAUAUAUCAUGUGCCCUGCUAAGCUUUUCCACGUCACUGUCUUUAAGUUUCACACCGCUCCAUAAGGUGAGUGCAACUAUCACAUCCAUUUUACAGGUACGGAUACAGAAGCAACUUGCCCAAGGUCACACAGCUGGUAAACGGUGAAGCCAGCUCUCAGAACCCGGAGCCCAGCCUCUGAAGCCAUGGUCGGAGCCAGGAGGAAUGGCCAAGAUCUGUUGUGACUACUGGUGAGCACAAGUUUCCUUUUCCUCUACCCUUCCAAGUUCUUGGCUCGGGCUCCCGUAACAAGAGAAACACAUACAGGGGCGCCUGGGCAGUUAGAGCUCAUCUCUGUGUUGCAAACCAGCCUCCCUUUCUGGUUAUAACCUCCCGAGAGAUGCCCCCUCAUCUGUGCUCCCUUUUUCUCCCCGCCCCCUGCUUGUGUUCUCGCAGGGGACUGGCCCCCCGAGAGUGCCUUUCUGUGUCCGGGCGGGCGGGCCCUCUCCAGGGGGAGCUCUCCGGAGCAGAGGCCUGGCCCAGGACCCCAGCCCCUAGCACGGCCUAUGGGCCCAGCUUCAAGUGCCAGGUACCUGGGGUCCUCGGAGGGACGUGGGGUAGCCCGAGGCAGACUCACCGUGUGCCAGGCACACCCGCAAAGCGGCAGUCAGGGGGCGAGAAGAAGGUUCCGGUGGUUUAGGACAGAAUAUCUAGAAAGAAGCACUAUAUUACGACUUAAUUUCAGCACUACAGGUAGAUAGGAAGUCAUUUGAAGAAAUAGAGGUGUACUUUGAAUCUCCGGGUGCGGUGGGGGUGGGCAUCCUGAGCUCUCCGGUGCGGGAGCCGCCGAAGGUCUUGGGAAGGGUGCUGAGUGGGGCCUGGCCCGUGCGGUACGCUCAGCAUCACCGGCAACUGCGGACCACACAGCAGGCCCAUCACGGAGGCCGGGCUGCACCUUCCCUUGGCGGGGACGGGGGAGGCAGGAGGGGGUUGGGCAGCCGGGGGGCGGGGGGCCCUGAGUCCUCCACCGGCCUCAGAGCAUGAAAGAUGGAUGGCCUCUUCCUUUUGAAGUCCUCUUUGUGUAAAUCUGCCACGAUGUGGGCGACUCCAGGGGUUUGCGGGCGAGUCUCCCGGUCCCAUCGCCUUGCCUCCAAGCUCCUUCAGACGUUUUCUGCUCAUUGAGGCCACAGUCACGCUGCCUGUGUGGCUCUCGGGAACCCUCACGGUGCCAGGGAAGGGGCUCCGUGGAUGCCGGUGUCUGCUCGGGAGCCAGGGCUGGGAGACACCUGCACCCUCUGUGCGGGCCCUCCCCUCCCCAGGGCGUGGGGAAGGAGGGUCUCCUGGGAGCGGGCACCAGCCUGCCAGGGAUGGAGCGGCCAGCCCAGGCUCAGAGCCUGCUCUGCUGAGCCCGGCUUCCCGGGAGUCAUCAGCCUCUCUAAGCCGCCCCGCUGCAUCUAUCAAUGAGGGCAACGCCGGCUGGCUGGGGAGCUGGCAGGCAUCAGAGAUAAUGCUCUUUACCAGCUUAGCCCGUGUUAGGUGCUGUGGACAGGAUUAUGUCCCCCCUAAAUUCGCAUGUCGACGCAUCACCCAAUGUGACGGUAUUUGGAGGUGGGACCUUUGGGCAGUGAUUAGGUUAGAUGAGGUCACGAGAAGGGGGCCCCUGUGAUGGGAUUGAUGGGAUUAGCAUCCUUCAAAGAAGGGAUACCAGAAGGCUUGUUCUUUUUCCCUGCCACGUGAGGACCCAGUGAGAAGGUAAAACCCGGGAAGAGGGCUGUUACCAGAAGCCAACCGUGCAGUCCCCUGUUCUAAGUCUUUCAGCCUCCAGAACCUGGUGAAAAUAAAGUUCCUUUUUUGUUUUUGUUUUUUUCAUGCUUAUUUAUUUUUGAGAGAGAAAGAGAGACGGCGCACACAGAAGCAGGGGAGGGGCAGAGAGGGAAGGAGACACAGAAUCCAAAGCAGGCUCCAAGCUGUCAGCACAAUGCCCGACUCGGGGCUCGAACCCACAGACAGUGAGAUCGUGACCUGAGCCGAAGUCAGACGCCCAACUAACUGGCACCCAGGCACCCUGCAAAAAUAAAUUUCUGUUGUUUAA